rnacentral:misc_RNA from 1 species
UCUCCGUUGGUGAACCAGCGGAGGGAUCAUUACCGAGUUUACAACUCCCAAACCCAAUGUGAACCAUACCAAACUGUUGCCUCGGCGGGGUCACGCCCCGGGUGCGUCGCAGCCCCGGACCCAGGCGCCCGCCGGAGGGACCAACCAAACUCUUUCUGUAGUCCCCUCGCGGACGUGAUUUUUACAGCUCUGAGCAAACAGUCAAAAUGACUCAAAAAUUGCAAAAACGGAUCUCUUGGGUCUGGCAUCGAUGAAGAACGCAGC